CCUUGUGGGGUUGGACCCCAACCGGAAUUGUCUCACGCCGCGAAAACGUGAAAUUCUGCUUGCCGCCAAAUUUUUUCCCGACAGGCUGCGACAGCUCAUGCAAGGCGUGGUUAGGGUUUACAUUCCACCUGUGGUGUAAAUUGGUGUGGCUGCGUGCAUGGGGGUUGUGUUUUCACCCCGAGACGUAUUGCUGGCAGCGGCCGCUUGAAACAUUUGGAUUCGGCUCCCCAUCAUUUAUUGCGUGAACGACGAGAGCUUAACCCAUUGAACCAGAAGCAUGUUUUGUUCGCAUCACUGCAUUGCUGUUUUCGUUUGCGCAAUUCGCUUCCAACAAGAGAGUUUUGUGCAUCUUGCUAUGCGGAUGGAACGGAUUUGUGUUUGAGAUCACCGAGUGUAACGCAUGUUCUGAUCGCCUUUUUAUCAUGUUUCGCUUUGGUCGCCGUUCAAUCAAAUCUCCAACUUAUUAAAUCUCUUUGAAACAAUUCAAUUCAAUUCAGUUAACAGGAGAGCA